AAAGCAUGUCAGAGGGACACCUUUUGGUCAUCUGCUUGAAUCUUUUCCAAGCUUCAUAGAGGGAUUCACCAUCUUUCUGUUUGAAGGUCUGAACAUCCACUCUAUGAUUGC